rnacentral:rRNA from 1 species
CAGGUGCUGCAUGGCUGUCGUCAGCUCGUGUUGUGAAAUGUUGGGUUAAGUCCCGCAACGAGCGCAACCCUUAUCCUUGUUUGCCAGCGAGUAAUGUCGGGAACUCCAGGGAGACUGCCGGUGAUAAACCGGAGGAAGGUGGGGACGACGUCAAGUCAUCAUGGCCCUUACGAGUAGGGCUACACACGUGCUACAAUGGCGCAUACAGAGGGCAGCCAACUUGCGAGAGUGAGCGAAUCCCAAAAAGUGCGUCGUAAUCCGGAUCGGAGUCUGCAACUCGACUCCGUGAAGUCGGAAUCGCUAGUAAUCGUGGAUCAGAAUGCCACGGUGAAU